rnacentral:rRNA from 1 species
CUAAAAACCUAGCCCAACAAACAUGAAUUUUACUAAAUUAACUAAACCCCUUUAAUAAACCAUUUUAACAUUCUAGUAAAGGAGAUUGAAAAACUUAUUUGGAGCUAUAAGGACAGUACCGCAAGGGAACGAUGAAAUAUUAUGAAAAACUUCAAGCAACAAAAAGUAAAGAUUACCUCUUGUACCUUUCGCAUCAUGGUUUAACUAGUCUAACCAAGCAAAACGUAUUUAAGUUUGACUUCCCGAAACUAAGUGAGCUACUUCAGGGCAGCUAGAAGAGCAAACCCGUCUCUGUAGCAAAAGAGUGGGACGACCCUCAAGUAGUGGUGACAGACCUAACGAACUUAGUGAUAGCUGGUUACUCAAGAAACGGAUUUAAGUCCAACCUAAAAGUUACAUUACCCAAGUUUAUCAAAACAAUCAUUUGGCUUUUAGAGUAAUUCAAAUAAGGUACAGCCUAUUUGAAACAGGAUACAACCUAGCCUAACGGAUAAGAUCAGCCUAGCAUACAAUCAAGUGGGCCUAAAAGCAGCCACCUUUAAUACAGCGUCAAAGCUAAAUUGUAACCGCGCCCAAUUACUUUACCCAUAUCUCAAUCCCCUGCUAAUACUGAGUAGUUCUAUAAUACUAUA